AAUGUGUGUGUGUGUGUGUGUGUGUGUGUGUGUGUGUGUGUGUGUGUGUGUGUGUGCGUGUGUGUGUGUGUGUGUGUGUGUCCAGGAAUUGAGUUCGUGUUACUGCUAUCACGAGCCUGGUGGCAAUUGUUAACAGCGGUAUUUCCGAGUUUUCUUUUUGUGGGGGAGGGGAUUGUUCUCGUUGAUCAGAAAUAAUUCUCCAUGGCAACUUUCUGAAUUUAAGCAUACUAAUAAAUAAAUAAAUAAAUAAAUAAAUAAAUA